CGGGGUGUAGCGCAGUUAGGUAGCGCAUCUGCUUUGGGAGCAGAGGGUCGCUGGUUCAAAUCCAGUCACCCCGACCA
rnacentral:tRNA from 1 species